ACGCAUGCUGUGCUAUCUUUUAUGAAACUGAGCCCAGGAAGCAGGCAAUCGGUUGGCUCCUCCUAACAAGUCCAACUGGCUACAAAGAGCUAGAAAGGCUGCACAGAGCAACCAAGAGGAGCUAUCCCACAUAUUAAUCUGCUUAUCUCGGAUUGCUCUGGGGGAAGAGGGAGGGAAACCCGAAACAAGGCAGGGGGAGGGGAAGGGAAAACCAUAGCUUUGCUGCCCAAACAGCAGAAUAAUUUCAGCAA
rnacentral:lncRNA from 1 species